GACGAACGCUGGCGGCGUGCUUAACACAUGCAAGUCGAACGGAAAGGCCCUGCUUUUGUGGGGUGCUCGAGUGGCGAACGGGUGAGUAACACGUGAGUAACCUGCCCUUGACUUUGGGAUAACUUCAGGAAACUGGGGCUAAUACCGGAUAGGAGCUCCUGCUGCAUGGUGGGGGUUGGAAAGUUUCGGCGGUUGGGGAUGGACUCGCGGCUUAUCAGCUUGUUGGUGGGGUAGUGGCUUACCAAGGCUUUGACGGGUAGCCGGCCUGAGAGGGUGACCGGCCACAUUGGGACUGAGAUACGGCCCAGACUCCUACGGGAGGCAGCAGUGGGGAAUAUUGCACAAUGGGCGGAAGCCUGAUGCAGCAACGCCGCGUGCGGGAUGACGGCCUUCGGGUUGUAAACCGCUUUCGCCUGUGACGAAGCGUGAGUGACGGUAAUGGGUAAAGAAGCACCGGCUAACUACGUGCCAGCAGCCGCGGUGAUACGUAGGGUGCGAGCGUUGUCCGGAUUUAUUGGGCGUAAAGGGCUCGUAGGUGGUUGAUCGCGUCGGAAGUGUAAUCUUGGGGCUUAACCCUGAGCGUGCUUUCGAUACGGGUUGACUUGAGGAAGGUAGGGGAGAAUGGAAUUCCUGGUGGAGCGGUGGAAUGCGCAGAUAUCAGGAGGAACACCAGUGGCGAAGGCGGUUCUCUGGGCCUUUCCUGACGCUGAGGAGCGAAAGCGUGGGGAGCGAACAGGCUUAGAUACCCUGGUAGUCCACGCUGUAAACGGUGGGUACUAGGUGUGGGGUCCAUUCCACGGGUUCCGUGCCGUAGCUAACGCUUUAAGUACCCCGCCUGGGGAGUACGGCCGCAAGGCUAAAACUCAAAGGAAUUGACGGGGCCCCGCACAAGCGGCGGAGCAUGCGGAUUAAUUCGAUGCAACGCGUAGAACCUUACCUGGGUUUGACAUGGAUCGGGAGUGCUCAGAGAUGGGUGUGCCUCUUUUGGGGUCGGUUCACAGGUGGUGCAUGGCUGUCGUCAGCUCGUGUCGUGAGAUGUUGGGUUAAGUCCCGCAACGAGCGCAACCCUUGUUCACUGUUGCCAGCACGUUAUGGUGGGGACUCAGUGGAGACCGCCGGGGUCAACUCGGAGGAAGGUGGGGAUGACGUCAAGUCAUCAUGCCCCUUAUGUCCAGGGCUUCACGCAUGCUACAAUGGCUGGUACAGAGAGUGGCGAGCCUGUGAGGGUGAGCGAAUCUCGGAAAGCCGGUCUCAGUUCGGAUUGGGGUCUGCAACUCGACCUCAUGAAGUCGGAGUCGCUAGUAAUCGCAGAUCAGCAACGCUGCGGUGAAUACGUUCCCGGGGCUUGUACACACCGCCCGUCAAGUCAUGAAAGUUGGUAACACCCGAAGCCGGUGGCCUAACCGUUGUGGGGGAGCCGUCGAAGGUGGGACUGGUGAUUAGGACUAAAU
rnacentral:rRNA from 1 species